CUCCCCAUUGCUGCAAACACACUUGUACCCCCAUUCUUGCCACUUUCUGAAACAGUUCUGGAAGUCUUCUUUUGCAUCUUCACAAGGUGUAGUCAAUGAUACUGUGAAUGCUGCUGCCCAGGGCCUCCAACAGAAAGGCAGCUCAUGAAAAUCUAACGCUGUGUCCUCGUCCACCAGAUCUGGCACCAUGUGGCUUCCAGCUCUUCCCCACUGUCAGAAUGACCAGGAAAAGGAAACGUUUUGAAUCCAUUCAGGACAUGGAGGCAGCCAGGACAGCGCAACUAAAGACACUCGGGAAAGAGGGCUCCAGAGCUGCUGCAGGAAGCGGCCAGGACGGUGGGAGGAGCGUGUGUGAGGAAAAACUGCAUUGCCACGGAUCCCCCUGUGACACUGUCCUAGCGGGUCUGGAAGGAGCAAGGACGGGGACCUGGACUCAAAUCCACACUGGGCUGAAGCCAAAGCUCCCUGUGUCCUGCAUGGGUGCUUCCAAGGCUGGAGGCUCGGCUCCGCAAUGCCUCCUGCUGAAGUCAGACCGGGGUGCUCACCUUCCACUGGCUCACGUGCUUGCAGGGGGUUUGUGAGGACCACAUUUCCCAGAGUUGGCCCUGUGGGACAGGAGGCCUGGUGUCAGCAGCAGCUGGAGUGGCCAUUCCUCGCCUGGGAUGCUGGGAAGGAGUUGCAGUUGGGAUGGCAGUCAAGACCCCGGGCCCGAGAGUGGCAGCUGGCCAUCCAGAUCAGCAGCGUCCAGAUCCCUGGCCAGGGCGGCAGAUGGUCCCCUCCCUGAGGCAGUGACGCCCCCCGUGGUCCCCGUGACGGGCUUCCUGGGGCAGGAGGCGUCUCAAUGCCGCCGCUGUCUGGCUCCCAACACAAACCCCAGCUUCCCAACUGCUCUCAGAAUAGAUGCACAUGUUGGAGUCUUUCCGCGGGCAGGAAACGUCACGACCAAGGACAUGGUGUUUUUGUCAUCUGAUGUCCUUGUCUGAAUGAUCCAGCAUGGCCGCCCAGGCCAAGCUAAAAAAUCAAGAUGGAGCCACUCAGGCUAAAGUUCCGUGUGACCUGCCUGGACUCAGCUGUCAUAUGACCUUCCUAGAAGACAGGAGAGGAAAUGGACAAAUUUCCCAAACAGGCCAGGUUUCCUCCAUCA
rnacentral:lncRNA from 1 species